AUUGAACGCUGGCGGCAGGCCUAACACAUGCAAGUCGAACGAGUGGCGGACGGGUGAGUAAUUUCUGGGAAACUGCCUGAUGGAGGGGGAUAACUACUGGAAACGGUAGCCAAUACCGCAUACCAUCAGAUGUGCCCAGAUGGGAUUAGCUAGUGGUUGGGGUAACGGCUCACCAAGGCGACGAUCCCUAGCUGGUCUGAGAGGAUGACCAGCCAAACUGGAACUGAGACACGGUCCAGAUUCCUACGGGAGGAAGCAGUGGGGAAUAUUGCACAAUGGGCGGAAGCCUGAUGAAGCCAUGCAGCGUGUAUGAAGAAGGCCUUCGGGUUGGAAAGUACUUUCAGCGGGGAAGCGUUACCCGCAGAAGAAGCACCGGCUAACUACGUGCCAGCAGCCGCGGUAAUAC
rnacentral:rRNA from 1 species